GAGAUCUGGCCACUGCACUCCAGCCUGGGCCACAGAGCAAGACUCGGUCUCAACAACAACAAAAAAAAUUCCAUCUGGCAGGACACACAGUAGUCUCUCUCUCAGUUUAGGAGGGUUGUCCUAAGAAUAGGAGUUACUCUUAAAGGCACAAGAGGGACCAGG